rnacentral:rRNA from 1 species
AUGCACGCUGGCCGCGUGCCUAAUACCUGCCAGUCGCGCGAACAGACGAGGAGCUUGCUCCUCUGACGUUAGCGGCGGACGGGUGAGUAACACGUUGAUAACCUACCUAUAAGACUGGGAUAACUUCGGGAAACCGGAGCUAAUACCGGAUAAUAUAUUGAACCGCAUGGUUCAAUAGUGAAAGACGGUUUUGCUGUCACUUAUAGAUGGAUCCGCGCCGCAUUAGCUAGUUGGUAAGGUAACGGCUUACCAAGGCAACGAUGCGUAGCCGACCUGAGAGGGUGAUCGGCCACACUGGAACUGAGACACGGUCCAGACUCCUACGGGAGGCAGCAGUAGGGAAUCUUCCGCAAUGGGCGAAAGCCUGACGGAGCAACGCCGCGUGAGUGAUGAAGGUCUUCGGAUCGUAAAACUCUGUUAUUAGGGAAGAACAAAUGUGUAAGUAACUAUGCACGUCUUGACGGUACCUAAUCAGAAAGCCACGGCUAACUACGUG